rnacentral:rRNA from 1 species
AUACGUAGGGGGCGAGCGUUGUCCGGAAUCACUGGGCGUAAAGGGUGCGUAGGCGGUUAUGCAAGUCAGGUGUAAAAGGCAUUGGCUCAACCAAUGUAAGCACUUGAAACUGUAUAACUUGAGUACAGGAGAGGUAAGCGGAAUUCCUAGUGUAGCGGUGAAAUGCGUAGAUAUUAGGAGGAACACCAGUGGCGAAGGCGGCUUACUGGACUGUAACUGACGCUGAGGCACGAAAGCGUGGGGAGCGAACAGGAUUAGAUACCCUGGUAGUCCACGCCGUAAACGAUGAGUGCUAGGUGUUGGCAUGCGAGUGUCAGUGCCGGAGUUAACACAUUAAGCACUCCGCCUGGGGAGUACGGUCGCAAGACUAAA